GACGAACGCUGGCGGCGUGCCUAAUACAUGCAAGUCGAACGCUGAAGCGAGGAGCUUGCUCUUCUUGGGUGAGUUGCGAACGGGUGAGUAACGCGUAGGUAACCUGCCUGGUAGCGGGGUAUAACUAUUGGAAACGAUAGCUAAUACCGCAUAAAAUGCAUUAUCGCAUUAUAAUCCAUUGAAAGGUGCAAAUGCAUCACUACCAUAUGGACCUUCGUUGUUUUAGCUAGUUGGUGGGGUAACGGCGCCCGAAGGCGACGCUACAUAGCCAACAUGAGAGGGGGGGCGGCCAGCCUGGGACGGGGACACGGCCCAGACGCCUACGGGAGGCAGCAGUAGGGUAUCUUCGGCAAUGGACGGAAGUCUGACCGAGCAAGGCCGAGUGAGGGAAGAAGGUUUUCGGAUCGUAAAGGUCUGUUGUAAGAGAAGAAAGAGUGUGAGAGUGGAAAGUUCACACUGUGACGGUAACUGAUCAGAAAGGGACGGCUAACUACGUG
rnacentral:rRNA from 1 species